CCUACGGGAGGCAGCAGUGGGGAAUCUUGCGCAAUGGGCGAAAGCCUGACGCAGCAACGCCGCGUGCGGGAAGAAGGCUUUCGGGCUGUAAACCGCUUUCAGCAGGAACGAAAAUGACGGUACCUGCAGAAGAAGGAGCGGCCAACUAUGUGCCAGCAGCCGCGGUGAUACAUAGGCUUCAAGCGUUGUCCGGAUUUAUUGGGCGUAAAGAGUUCGUAGGCGGUCGAGUAAGUCGGGUGUGAAAAUUCUGGGCUCAACCCAGAGACGCCACCCGAUACUGCUUGACUUGAGUUCGAUAGGGGAGUGGGGAAUUCCUAGUGUAGCGGUGAAAUGCGCAGAUAUUAGGAGGAACACCGGUGGCGAAGGCGCCACUCUGGAUCGAUACUGACGCUGAGGAACGAAAGCAUGGGUAGCAAACAGGAUUAGAUACCCUGGUAGUCCAUGCCGUAAACGGUGGGCACUAGGUGUGGGUUUCUAUUAACGAAAUCCGCGCCGUCGCUAACGCAUUAAGUGCCCCGCCUGGAGUACGUCGCAGACUAAACUACAAGAAGUAGACGCGUGAGACGUGCCGACGACGACGACGAGGGAGUAGG
rnacentral:rRNA from 1 species